AUACUUAUAGCAAAAUAUUCUGAAACCCUAAUACUCAAAACGACUCAGUAUUGGGACGGAUUAAGAACUGUACUCGACCCAGGUGGUCGAGUGUGUGGUCGAGUGAAUAGCUGGAGUCUUCUUUUCUUCCUUGUGCUUGAGUGUCUGGUUGAGUGCGGAAUGGAGAAGACUCUGAAGCUCGCCAUCGAGUAUGUAGUCGAGUGGUGGUGAUGGUGAUACUCGACUUCCAGGUAGAGUGGUGUGAUCGAGUGAUGAUCAGGUAAUGGAGGUGAAGACACUCGACCUCGGGGUCGAGUGAAGUGAACGAGUGAUUGUUAGGUGGUAGAGGUGAAGACACUCGACCAGGGGGACGAGUGAUGAGAUGAAAUCGAGAAGUCCCCUACUCGACCUGGGGGUCGAGUGGUCUUUGAAGGUCUUGAAGCUUCUACUCGACCUUGGGGUCGAGUGGUUUGACAUGAUCAAGUCUGCUUGGUUUGACAUGAUCAAGUCCGCUUCUUCCAAUUAGCUCGUCAACAACUCCAAAUCACCUGAAAUCAACACAAAUAUGCAACAUGAAUGCAAAACUAUCCUAAACAUACAAAGUGAUGACAAAUGAUGAGAAAUGAUAUAAAACAGUGAUGAUAUGAGGCUAAAGUGAUGACAAAUGGAUGCUCAAAACAUGCAAAAUACACACUUAUCAACUCCCCCAAACUUAGUCUUUGCUUGCCUUCAAGCAAACAAUUAAGAACAAGCUGGAGGUGAGGUUUGAAAGCGGGGACUCAGAGCCAAAGCACCAGAUAAACCAGAUGAAAUCAAUGUCCAAGUUGAAAGUUCUAAGCUGCAAUAUGAUCGAAUUCUACUCAAAAACGUUAGCCAUGCCUUAUUAUCAAUCAAUCCGACUCAUAUGCUCGACCUACACAUGUUUUCAAAUCUACCAAUCCCCUUAACAUUCAUUUGUUCUAGAACGUGAAUCAAGCAAUGCAUCAUCAAUGAACUCAUUUGGCUAAGGUAAAAGGUCAAGAGACAAAGAUGGUCCCUUAUAGAAUAGGCUUCAGUAACAGGGGAUCUCUCAAAAAAUGAUUAAGCUUUAGUAGAAUGCUAUAGGUAAGUCCCAACCUAUGCAUACAGAGAUAAGGUCCCAUCUACCCAGAGUAUAUCAAAUGAAGCUCUAACGGUAAUCCCAUCUCCAAUCCCAAUAUAAGAACUUAACUCUACCAUUUGCAUUCAUGAAUCUUAUAACCCCUUUUUCUAAUCAUUCUUUUAUUUUCUCUUAACUCUAGGAGAAGCUUUCUAAACACUUUGAUACAUCUAGCGGAUUUGGAUUUCUUUAACAACUAAGGUUCCUGUUUUUAACAUUUUAAAACCGAGGGCUUUUGCCCAUCUUCAAUAGCUAACAAGAACUCUUUCUUUUCUUUACAAAUCGCAAACCUUUUACUAGACUUUUUCUGUUUCUUUAGCUUACUUCACCUGGAGUCUUUAACCUUUUCUUAUCAAUGAAUCAACCCCUUUUCUUCUUUUAAACACAUCCCAACCCAAAGUACAAGCGCCCACCUAGUCCUAUCUAGUCCGGAAAAUGAGAACUAGAACUACAUGAGACACUAUCUCUGUCGUUACGAACCUAACACUUUCUACCAAGCUUAAUCUGAAUAAGACCUCACAAACACUCACAAGUGAUAUAAGGCUUGAAAAAAAGUCUAGGUUUGGGUUCGGGUUAAUUGCUC
rnacentral:sRNA from 1 species